rnacentral:rRNA from 1 species
AUUGAACGCUGGCGGCAUGCCUAACACGUGCAAGUCGAACGGCAGCACGGCAGUAGCAAUACUGUGGGUGGCGAGUGGCGGACGGGUGAGGAAUACGUCGGAAUCUGCCCAGUCGUGGGGGAUAACUAGCCGAAAGGUUAGCUAAUACCGCAUACGACCGAGAGGUGAAAGCGGGGGACCGCAAGGCCUCGCGCGAUUGGAUGAGCCGACGUCGGAUUAGCUAGUUGGUGGGGUAAAGGCCCACCAAGGCGACGAUCCGUAGCUGGUCUGAGAGGAUGAUCAGCCACACUGGAACUGAGACACGGUCCAGACUCCUACGGGAGGCAGCAGUGGGGAAUAUUGGACAAUGGGCGCAAGCCUGAUCCAGCAAUGCCGCGUGUGUGAAGAAGGCCUUCGGG